rnacentral:piRNA from 1 species
UCUGGCUUUUUUCUGUGAUUC